rnacentral:lncRNA from 1 species
UUGUUGAGUGGAAUGCAAGGACCGGUUGUAACACCAUUGCCCUAACGUUGAUCAAUGGGAAAAUUGAAUACUCAGGUAAAACAUUUGUAUACGUUAUAUGAUAUUGAUAUAUUUUAUUAAUUAAUGCUAAAAUUUAUCUUAUUUUCAAAUCUUAUUCAUUCCAGCAUUGUCGUUCAUUGUGUACAAGCAGCAGUGUUUAGGUUUUGACUAUAAUCUUAAUAUACAUUGUUGUCUCUCAAAAGAUUCAGACAGGACCACGUGAAAGGUUGUAGUGCCAGCAGUUGCUGGGCCAGACCUUUCCAAGGGCCCUAUGAUGUAAUAUAAAUUGCAUCAAACUCUCUCUCUCUCUCAUGCUAACUAAUAAUGAGUAAGUGGACGAGGUGAUAAGCAAAUUCUCACUUAUAUGUAAAUUGUUAAUAGCAAUAUGCGUGUUUCGUUAUUGAAUAGAUGCCGAAAAAGAAAUAUAAAAAAGGGCCCCUUUACUGGGUCUUUUGCCAGAAAAUACGACAAGAGGCAACUGGCGUCCUUGCAAAACAGGGUAAGAAAUUAUUUGUAUUUAGACUACAUGACAAAACACUAUACGCUAUAGAACUAUGAAAGCAACAAAAUCUUAUUUAUGUUAAUAAUAUUUUAAGCUUGUUGAGUGGAAUGCAAGGACCGGUUGUAACACCAUUGCCUAACGUUGAUCAAUGGGAAAAUUGAAUACUCAGGUAAAACAUUUGUAUACGUUAUAUGAUAUUGAUAUAUUUUAUUAAUUAAUGCUAAAAUUUAACUUAUUUUCAAAUCUUAUUCAUUCCAGCAUUGUCGUUCAUUGUGUACAAGCAGCAGUGUUUAGGUUUUGACUAUAAUCUUAAUAUACAUUGUUGUCUCUCAAAAGAUUCAGACAGGACCACGUGGAAGGUUGUAGUGCCAGCAGUUGCUGGGCCAGACCUUACCAAGGGCCCUAUGAUGUAAUAUAAAUUGCAUCAAACUCUCUCUCUCUCUCAUGCUAACUAAUAAUGAGUAAGUGGACGAGGUGAUAAGCAAAUUCUCCCUUAUAUGUAAAUUGUUAAUAGCAAUAUGCGUGUUUCGUUAUUGAAUAGAUGCCGAAAAAGAAAUAUAAAAAAGGGCCCCUUACUGGGUCUUUUGCCAGAAAAUACGACAAGAGGCAACUGGCGUCCUUGCAAAACAGGGUAAGAAAUUAUUCAUAUUUAGACUACAUGACAGAACACUAUACGCUAUAGAACUAUGAAAGCAACAAAAUCUUAUUUAUGUUAAUAAUAUUUUAAGCUUGUUGAGUGGAAUGCAAGGACCAGUUGUAACACCAUUGCCCUAACGUUGAUCAAUGGGAAAAUUGAAUACUCAGGUAAAACAUUUGUAUACGUUAUAUGAUAUUGAUAUAUUUUAUUAAUUAAUGCUAAAAUUUAACUUAUUUUCAAAUCUUAUUCAUUCC